ensembl:lncRNA
AAGGAAGCCAGUCCCGGCAGCUUGGGGGCUCCCAGCAGCCCUGUGAAGGGAAGAAGAGAGAAAGGGUGCCCGGUAGCGGCGCCUGGGAAGCACUCUCUCCGUCCUCCCAACGCACUUAGGGAGGAAGAGGUCAAGCCCCCGAUGAGCAACAGUACGCCUGAGACAGAGGACUCGGAAGGGGAAGGGCUUGCUCCGGCUGCGGUUUUGGUGGUGCCAGCUCACAAUUGGACAGGACCCUUGCUCCUAGGCCCCGGGACCCCAGGUGACCCUGGCAGGGGGCGUGUGGUGGACCAAACAGGAAGUGAAAGAGGAAGAGGAGGCUCUGGGGUCCGCAGGCCCCAUCAGCACACGAAUUCAGUGUCCUAGAGAGCGCCGAAUGGGACCCAGGCCCUAAAGGCUCCGGCAGCUCCCGUGGCGCUGCCCUGGAGACAACGCCUCUAAAGCGUGGACCUUUGGACCAAACCGCGGUGGGCUCAGAGAGGGCGGUGAUUCGCCUGAGGUCACACAGCUGGAGUCAGAUUUCCAGUUCACUCCGGCCUGCAAUCCUGUCUGCAUCCCCUGCCGCCUCCCCAACGCCCCCACCAACCAUAGCGCACUCACCCGCAUCCUGUCCCUGCCUGUGUCCCUGUUCCUGCGUCACCGCUGCCAUCGCUGAUUAACUUUCUGUUUGCCUGCGUUAUCUGGACCAGGGCUCUGCCUUUCCAAAGAGCUCACACGUAAACGGAGAAGCAAAUAGUUAUCUAGGGUGGUGACAGACAUUGCUGAGAAGAAAAUGGAGCAGGACAAUGGAGUGGAGAGUGAUACAGAGAGGAAAAGAGAAAUGCAGGAGCAAAGUCAACUGGUUGCCAUGGAGACAAUAAUCCCCCCUCCCACCUCAAUUUUUUUUACUACCUGGCCCUUGGCGUGAAAAGUGGGCCAAACCCUGUAAACCAAGAUGAGGAGCCGAGGUUCAGAGAGGCUGAGGGACUCGCUCCUGUGAAUUCAGCAAGCAAGGACAGGCCUGGGGUUUGAACCUGGAACCUCAGACUUCUAGGAAAUGUCUCGGAUUCUCUCACUGGGGUGUAAUGGUUAAAUUGCUACCAGCUGAUUAAACAGCAGCAGCGAAGAAACUGUAAUCCUCAGCCUGGGGAACCUGGGAAGGCAGGGAAUGAAGACCAGAUGACAAAGAGGCGCCCCUGCCCUGGCCCUUCCUCCUGGGAAAUCUUUCCCACACCUGCCCCCCACUCAGGAAGGAGCGGAAAGACAGGAGCAAGAGAUCAGAGAGGGCUCUCUUGGAAGACGGAAAAGGCAGGCUUGGGGUUUUCUCCACCCAACCGAAACGAGAUCAUGAAGUCAGUGCUGACUUUCUUGGAGCCUCUCUGAGCCUCGUUUGUAGGUAGGGACAGUGGCCUUGCAAGGGGGCCACAAGGAUCGAGGGUCUAAUGCACCUCAGAGCACCCACCCGACCCUGAGUUAUGAGAAUGAACUGCUGAGAUUGGGGUGCAACGCAACCGAAAUAGCCUCCCAACAAGGGCCACCGGAAAAGCCAUGUGCCUCUGGGCUGCUUGCUGGACUCUCCGAUCCUUACCUCUUCACCUGCAAAUUGGCCUGGGACAGCUGGGGGAGCCCCCGGGUGUUCCAGAGUCAAUGGGUACCAGGAUCCCACCAGAGAGUAGCUCUGUCCCCUGUCAGCUCAGGCUGUGGGCUAAGAAUAGCAGGGCAACCAGCCUCCUUGGGAAAGUUUAUUUCUGUGGAAAGUCUAGUUCAGUCGAGUGGAGAAUCUGGCCUUGAUUUCCCCCCCACGCCCCCCACACCCCGCUCAGAAACCAGACAGACGUGUGCCCGGAUGAAGGAGGAACUGAUGCACGGCGUGGGAGAAGUGGCCACCCGUCUCGGCAGCGACCUUUCUCUUUCCACUGGGGAGAAAAGGCCACCACGUGGGAGACGAGAAGGCAGAGGGUCUGGCCACCAAGGGCUGCAGGUCAGGCUUGUUUCUGGGGGGAACCUAGUGGUGCCCCCCAGUCUACAACCUUAGGAGUGACCUUAUUUAGGGUUACGGUCUCUGAAGACGUAAUUAAGGCAAGAAUAGAGAUAAGAUCACACUGAGUUAAGAUUUGCCCUACAUUCACAGGAGUGUCCUCACAGAAGACAGGAAUGGAAGGACAAACAUCAGAUGCAGGGAUGGAGCGAAGCUGCGGAAGCAGCUCCAGGAACCUCCGGAAGUUGAAAGAGGCAAAGACUACUUCUCCUCCAGAGAUUUUUGCAGUAAUUUCUUAGAGCAGCCUCAGGAAACCAAUACGCCUUGCAAAAGCCAUGAUGCCAUUUUGCAGAUGGGGCAGCUGAGGCACAAGGAAGAAAAGCCCUCUGUCUAAAAAAAAAUUAAGACGUGUUAUGUACAUGCCACCAACUCCCCAUGAUAAAAACAAGUGUUACGUGCUGCAAACAUGCACAUACUGAUACAAAAUAAAAGCGGGCAGUUGGGAGUGAAGGCAGGAUUCCAACUCGGGUCUGUCUGAACCUCGUAUGGCCAAGGCCACCCUUCGAGAAGGGGCAUUUCUGUAGGAGAGAAGUUCCAGCAAAGAGCCAGGGAGGCUGAGGUGAGAUCUGCUGCCAGCAUGCUCUCCUAGGCUGUGUGUCCAUGGGGGUCCCACCAGCACCCCACCCAGCCCCAGCUCCAUCCACCCCCAAGCCUCCUCUCUCCAGAGCUGAGAAGUGCCAUGGGAACUCAAGGGACAAGGGACAAAGCAGCUCUGCUCACAGCUGGACCAGAACCAUCUUCCUCUACGGAAGCUGCCUGACCUCAGGGUGGGCAAAGAGGUACUGACCCUGCCCUGCGGCCCAUGGCUGAGUGUUUACCUAGAAGUGGGGGCAGGCAGGCACCCAGGCAAUAGCAUUUAAGGAGGUUCUGGCUCUCAAGGUCCUGCAAAUGCCAACUUUGGGCUUGUGUGGAUAUGCAAAUGAGUGCUUCCUUAAAAGCUUCCUGCCCUAUUCCUGCCCUUACCUAGGGUUGAUUUAUAGAGGACCAAAAGACCUGGGGGUGGGGCAUUGGCAGCUGUUGGUCUUCAGAGUCUCACAGACAGGGGUUCAAAUCCUGAUUUUAGCCACUUAGUACCUGAGUGACCGUGGAUGGGUCUGUUCCUAUGCAUGGACUCAAUUUUCUCAUCUAUACAGCAGGGAUUAUAGAAUAAAAUCCACUUUCUCAGUAGUUAUGGAUGAGAAGAGUCGCAUGUAAAGUGCCUGGCACUCAGUAACUUAGCACUUAUUACCUUUUUUUUUUUUUUAAGCUCAGAAAGAGGAAAUCAGGGGGUGGCAGAGAAUAAUGGCCGCAUGGGAAUCAAUGGGUGGUUCCCUGGAGCUCAGCAGGAUUGGUAAUUUCUCCUUGAAGCAAAGCCAGGAUGAGGCUGGGAGGGCAGAGCCCGGGGAUGCCACACCUCUGGGGUGGCCGGGAGCUCUGCCCCUCAUCUGCACACCACCCAGAUGGCUCCUGGUGGAGGAGCACUGCAAGGAGAGUCCACUCACUGAGGCACCUCCAUCCAAGCCAGAGACGAUUCAGAGGCUGAAGCUGAGAGAGGUCAAGGUGACCUGGCCACGGUGAUUACACAGCUCAGAGCGGCAGCAGGAAGUGGAGCCCAGAGGACCACUGAGAAGCUGCUGCCGCUUCCCCUGAUGGUGACUGAGUACGAGGUGCAGCGCAUAGGCAGGCUGGCCCGGACCCGGCUUCUCCUCCCAGCACGUUCACAGGUCACAGGCACACCUGUGACGCAGGGACUGCGAUUAGCAUCACUGUCAUCUGCCUGAGUGAACCAAGGCUAGGAGCAGUGAGCUAGCUACCCAGGACUGCUGGGAGGAGAAGACCAGGCUGGGCUUGAAGACACACCAUCGUCACUGGGAGCAGAGAGCCAGGUUGGACAGAGGCGGAGACGUCACCAUCCACACCUGCUCUGUGGUGUGAUCCUGUGACAACGCCGUGCAUCUGCC